AUUGAACGCUGGCGGCAUGCUUUACACAUGCAAGUCGAACGGUAACAGGGAGCUUGCUCCGCUGACGAGUGGCGAACGGGUGAGUAAUGCAUCGGAACGUACCCAGUCGUGGGGGAUAACGUAGCGAAAGUUACGCUAAUACCGCAUACGUCCUGAGGGAGAAAGCGGGGGGACCAAAGGCCUCGCGCGAUUGGAGCGGCCGAUGUCGGAUUAGCUAGUUGGUGGGGUAAAGGCCUACCAAGGCGACGAUCCGUAGCGGGUCUGAGAGGAUGAUCCACCACACUGGGACUGAGACACGGCCCAGACUCCUACGGGAGGCAGCAGUGGGGAAUUUUGGACAAUGGGGGCAACCCUGAUCCAGCCAUGCCGCGUGAGUGAAGAAGGCCUCGG
rnacentral:rRNA from 1 species